AUUGAACGCUGGCGGCAGGCCUAACACAUGCAAGUCGAACGGUAACAGGGAUCAGCUUGCUGAUUCGCUGACGAGUGGCGGACGGGUGAGUAAUGUCUGGGAAACUGCCUGAUGGAGGGGGAUAACUACUGGAAACGGUAGCUAAUACCGCAUAACGUCGCAAGACCAAAGAGGGGGACCUUCGGGCCUCUUGCCAUCGGAUGUGCCCAGAUGGGAUUAGCUAGUAGGUGGGGUAACGGCUCACCUAGGCGACGAUCCCUAGCUAGUCUGAGAGGAUGACCAGCCACACUGGAACUGAGACACGGUCCAGACUCCUACGGGAGGCAGCAGUGGGGAAUAUUGCACAAUGGGCGCAAGCCUGAUGCAGCCAUGCCGCGUGUAUGAAGAAGGCCUUCGGGUUGUAAAGUACUUUCAGCGGGGAGGAAGGGAGUAAAGUUAAUACCUUUGCUCAUUGACGUUACCCGCAGAAGAAGCACCGGCUAACUCCGUG
rnacentral:rRNA from 1 species